AUGAGGAUUAUAAUGUUCCAAAUAUAUACAUAUGGCUUUAAACCUUGCUUACUAAGGGUUUUAUAUAUAUUGUCUUCAUCCUCCCAAGAGGCGAUCCUUAUCUCCGAGAGAAUAAUGAUCUCCAAAGGAAAAAUCAUUCUAUUUCUGCUGAUUUUAUUAACUGCGCUGGUGGUGCUCUGGGGAUAUAACAACAGCACAGAAGGAUCUUUUUUGUGUAUCUACCCUUACCAGAGGCAAUAUGGCGUAAUGGAUGGAGCACAUUGGACUUGGAGUCAGGAAGACCUAGGUUCAAAUCGCAUUCUUAGAUCCUUACUCUGUGACCUGGGACAAACCAUUUAACCUUAACUUCAGUUUCCUCAUCUGCAAAACAGGGACAAUAAUAACCUCAGAAUGAUUGUGAGACCCAAAGGCAGUAAUCUAUGCAAGCUCCUUUAAAAUGGUUAAUGUUUGCCAUGAUUUCUCACUCUGAUACAUGCCAACUUCUCCAGUUAUCACUGAAAUGAUGUGUUUUUGUCCACUGUUACUAUCUUGUCAUUCUUUAUUUCCUUCUCCUGUUGCCCAGUCUAGACAAGUUCAGUGGGACACUAAGGAGAAAGUUCAUCCUGACUUGGAAUCAGAAUAAUUGCCUUUGAUGUAGUAGCCUUCUAGCAGGUGACCUUUCUUAAAUAGCUAUGUUAACCUUUUGAGCUUCAAUUUCCUGUAAAAUAAAAUUUAAAACAUUUCAAGUGCUUGCCUCUCU
rnacentral:lncRNA from 1 species